GAAAGAAUAUUGAUUGAACAUCUACUCAAGAACUGCAAAACAGAGAUUACCUGACCUAAAGGAGUCCAUUCUCAAUUUUCUGUGCAAAUUGGGGAAGGCUGUUGAUAAUCGGUGGAUGCUAUAGUACCCAUGGAAAGACUCUAGUCUGAAGAUACCAGCCUCUCCCUCCCAAGAUCACCUCCCCUGACCAACCUUCUGCACUCCUGACAGAUACAAGGGAGCAGGCAAGUUGCACCCAACCUAACAGUAAAUUGCAGGGACAUUUCCAUUCUAAGGAAGGAAUUUUUGUGUGUGUUGCAACUCAGCUUCUGCUCUGGCAUUUUGCUGUGCAUUUAUAUUGCCAAUCAUGUUGGAGAGUCCAUGUGGUGAUUUCUGAAAAUGAGAUGUGAGAAAGAAGAGGAUAAUUUAAGUCUAGACCUACAGAUUGUGCUGAUAAAGUGACGAAGAACUACAAUCUUCUUAGUCAUUUCAUUGUAUAAGUGCAAUAAACGAUUUUGUGUCUUUCCUGGCAAACAACUUGUGACCACAGUGAUGGCUCCAGCAGAAUGGAAAAGACCCUUUACCUCACAUCUCAGAAGUAAAGAUGCUGAUUAUUUGACAUUGCCAUUGCAAUCUCAAAACAGUGUAAAGCAUUUGCUAAAAAGAGUCACUUUCUGAGAAAUGACUCAGAAUUCGACUUACGUACUAGCAGAACUUAUUGCCCAUAAAAGGAAAGGCCACACUUUUUGUGAAAACUUAAUAAUCCCUAGGAUGUAAAAUUAUACUGAGUUAAAUCCUAGGCCCAUUUUUAGUAUAAGAAAUUGGAAAAAAAUAAUCCACUCUCAAAUGGUAAGACAAAUUGAGAUAUUGCUGAAAAGCCUCUUGACCCUGAAAAGGUUCUGAAUAAUGAACUCAUAAAAGCAGCAGCAGCAUCUAACUUGACACCAGUCAUGUCAUUUG
rnacentral:lncRNA from 1 species